rnacentral:rRNA from 1 species
GAUGAACGCUAGCUACAGGCUUAACACAUGCAAGUCGAGGGGAAACGAUAUUGGAAGCUUGCUUCCGAUAGGCGUCGACCGGCGCACGGGUGAGUAACGCGUAUCCAACCUGCCCACCACUUGGGGAUAACCUUGCGAAAGUAAGACUAAUACCCAAUGAUAUCUCUAGAAGACAUCUGAAGGAGAUUAAAGAUUCAUCGGUGAUGGAUGGGGAUGCGUCUGAUUAGCUUGUUGGCGGGGUAACGGCCCACCAAGGCGACGAUCAGUAGGGGUUCUGAGAGGAAGGUCCCCCACAUUGGAACUGAGACACGGUCCAAACUCCUACGGGAGGCAGCAGUGAGCAAUAUUGGCCAAUGGGCGAGAGCUUGAACCAGCCAAGUAGCGUGCAGGAUGACGGCCCUAUGGGUUGUAAACUGCUUUUAUAAGGGAAUAAAGUGAGUCUCGUGAGACUUUUUGCAUGUACCUUAUGAAUAAGGACCGGCUAAUUCCGUGCCAGCCGCCGCGGUAA